GACAUACUCCCUCCGUCCGGAAAUACUUGUCAUUAAAAUAAAUAAAAUGAAUGUAUGUAGAUAUAUUUUAGUUCUAGAUACAUUUUUUUAUACAUUUUAAUGACAAUAUUUUCGGAGAGAGAGUAGAUA
rfam:Triticum aestivum genome assembly, contig: Triticum_aestivum_CS42_TGACv1_scaffold_374844_5AL